ACCAUCCCGAGUCAGCCCUGGGCUUCCUGCUAGGGAGGGCCGGGCAGGCGCUUGCUUUGCUGCUCAGGGCUUGCUGCCCUCUUUCCUUCCUCUGGGGUGGGCCCUGGAGGGCACGCACAGCCCAGGUGGGGCAUCUGUUCGCUCGGCGCGGAGUUAAACCUGAGACCCAGCCGUGUCACCUGUGACCACUUCCCCCACUGAAAGAGGUGGCAGUCUGGCCCAUAGGGCUGGAGGGAGGGAGCCCCAAGAGCGGGAGCCUGACCCGGCCGGAGGGCCUGAGCCUGGUGCUGCAAACAGCUGAGACCCAACCAGACUUGGCUUCUCAUAGACUGUGUGUCCUUGGUGAAGUCGCUGCACCUCUCUGAGCCUCAGCUGCCUCCUCUGUCACAGGGGCUUCUACCUCUCCGUGGUCUGGGUGCUGAGAGGACUGUGACACCCUGCAAAGCGUGAAGCGAAGAGAGAGACGUGUUUGUGAACAUGAAGAGGAGCCACUACCCACCCCACCUGGCUCAG